rnacentral:rRNA from 1 species
UGGGGAAUUUUGGACAAUGGGCGAAAGCCUGAUCCAGCAAUGCCGCGUGUGUGAAGAAGGCCUUCGGGUCUGAUAGCACUUUUGUCCGGAAAGAAAUCCUUGGCUCUAAUACAGUCGGGGGAUGACGGUACCGGAAGAAUAAGCACCGGCUAACUACGUGCCAGCAGCCGCGGUAAUACGUAGGGUGCAAGCGUUAAUCGGAAUUACUGGGCGUAAAGCGUGCGCAGGCGGUUUGCUAAGACCGAUGUGAAAUCCCCGGGCUCAACCUGGGAACUGCAUUGGUGACUGGCAGGCUAGAGUAUGGCAGAGGGGGGUAGAAUUCCACGUGUAGCAGUGAAAUGCGUAGAGAUGUGGAGGAAUACCGAUGGCGAAGGCAGCCCCCUGGGCCAAUACUGACGCUCAUGCACGAAAGCGUGGGGAGCAAACAGGAUUAGAUACCCUGGUAGUCCACGCCCUAAAACGAUGUC